rnacentral:rRNA from 1 species
CUAUUAAUACCCCCAAAAACACCAAUUGAUAAACAACAAACCAUUUUUCCUCCCAAGUACGGGCGACAGAAAAGGACACCUACAUGAGCCAUAAAAAAGUACCGCAAGGGAACGCUGAAAAAGAAAUGAAACAAACCAGUAAAGUUUAAAAAAGCAGAGACUUAUACUCGUACCUUUUGCAUCAUGACUUAGCUAGCAAAAACCAAGCAAAAGGCACUUUAGUUUGACUUCCCGAAACUAAGUGAGCUACUCCAAAACAGCCUAAAAGCAGGGCUAACCCGUCUCUGUGGCAAAAGAGUGGGAUGAUCUUAGAGUAGAGGUGACAAACCUAUCGAACUUAGUAAUAGCUGGUUGCCUAAGAAAUGAAUAGAAGUUCAGCUUUUUGAUUUUUCUUCUCAAAUUUAUUUCACUUAUAACUGACCCAGAAAACACCAAAAAAGUUAAUUAAAGGGGGUACAGCUCCUUUAAAACAAGAUACGACUUCAUCAGCCGGGUAAAGAUCAUAAUUAUUAAGGCAAAAAUGUUUUAGUGGGCCUGAAAGCAGCCACCUACAAGAAAGCGUUAAAGCUCAUUCAUACUUUCGCCAUCAAUUUAGAUAACAAAUCCCAACCCGCUAAUUUUAUUAGGCCGCCCCAUGUAUACAUGGGGGUGAUUCUGCUAAUAUGAGUAAUAAGAAAAACCCAGUUUUUCUCCUUGCACACGUGUAAAUCGAAACGGACCCCCCACCGAAUUUUAAUCGGCCCCAAAAGAGGGUAAUGAGCCACUAACUUUAGUAACAAGAAAAAUACCCAAAGAUUAACCGUUAACCCCACACUGGUGUGCCUACAAGGAAAGACUAAAAGAAAAAGAAGGAACUCGGCAAAUACAAGCCUCGCCUGUUUACCAAAAACACCGCCUCUUGUACACAAAAAUAAGAGGUCA